GCCUAGUUAGCUUGGUUGGUAGCGCGUCUGCGUUGUAAGCGCUAGGCCGCGGGUUCGAUUCCCGCCCGGGGCG
rfam:Asian citrus Psyllid, Diaphorina citri - Florida Strain, whole genome shotgun sequence.